AUUGAACGCUGGCGGCAUGCCUUACACAUGCAAGUCGAACGGUAACAGGUCUUCGGAUGCUGACGAGCGGCGAACGGGUGAGUAAUACAUCGGAACGUGCCUAGUAGUGGGGGAUAACUACUCGAAAGAGUGGCUAAUACCGCAUGAGAUCUACGGAUGAAAGCAGGGGACCGCAAGACCUUGUGCUACUAGAGCGGCCGAUGGCAGAUUAGGUAGUUGGUGGGAUAAAAGCUUACCAAGCCGGCGAUCUGUAGCUGGUCUGAGAGGACGAUCAGCCACACUGGGACUGAGACACGGCCCAGACUCCUACGGGAGGCAGCAGUGGGGAAUUUUGGACAAUGGGCGCAAGCCUGAUCCAGCAAUGCCGCGUGCAGGAUGAAGGCCUUCGGGUUGUAAACUGCUUUUGUACGAAACGAAAAGCCCUGGGUUAAUACCCUGGGGUCAUGACGGUACCGUAAGAAUAAGCACCGGCUAACUACGUGCCAGCAGCCGCGGUAAUAC
rnacentral:rRNA from 1 species